rnacentral:rRNA from 1 species
UACGUAGGGUGCAGGCGUUAAUCGGAAUUACUGGGCGUAAAGCGUGCGCAGGCGGUUUCUUAAGCCAGAUGUGAAAGCCCCGGGCUUAACCUGGGAACUGCGUUUGAAACUGGGAGACUUGAGUGUGGCAGAGGGGGGUGGAAUUCCACGUGUAGCAGUGAAAUGCGUAGAUAUGUGGAGGAACACCGAUGGCGAAGGCAGCCCCCUGGGUUAACACUGACGCUCAUGCACGAAAGCGUGGGGAGCAAACAGG